AGAGGAUUAUGUCUGCAUGAAAACAACUACGUCAUACCUACUGUAAUCGCUACUGACUGACUAUAUACCUUAUUGAAUGACGUGAUAACUAAAAUACUUUAAACGACCUUGAUAUCUGAUAACACUGUUGUAAAAUGGUCAUUGAAUUAUUGUUUUAACAUUCAUAAUUAAUAAUGCGAUAAAUCUAUGUAAGACCAACCUUCAUUUUCAUAGAUUUUAGGG
rnacentral:lncRNA from 1 species